GUUAAAUCCCAUAUACAGUGGCGCCUUUGUUUUGAUGCGUGGACUUCUUUUUCGAACGUAACGUGAUGCUGAAAUGUUCGUGGAGUGGUGCUAGUCGCAGUUCUAUCAUCAAACUGGCUAUCAAGAAUUGCACCAAAAUCCUGGACAUCUUUUUUUCAAUCGUUCGUAGUGUGAAUAUUACGUUCUCCCGGCAGCUUCUGGCACAAUAGACCAUUUCCGUCAGACCUUA